GGGACUCUUCAUGUCUGGUGUAUUAAAUUAAAACUCUGCAGCUUGGGACGCCUGGGUGGCUCAGUGGGUUAAGCCUCUGCCUUCGGCUCAGGUCAUGAUCUCAGGUUCCU